rnacentral:rRNA from 1 species
GUCUACAGCCAUACCACCCUGAAUGUGCCCAAUCUCGUCUGAUCUCAGAAGCUAAGCAUGCCUGGGUAGUACUUGGAUGGGAGACC